rnacentral:rRNA from 1 species
CCUACGGGCGGCAGCAGUGGGGAAUAUUGGACAAUGGGCGAAAGCCUGAUCCAGCCAUGCCGCGUGUGUGAAGAAGGCCUUCGGGUUGUAAAGCACUUUCAGUGGGGAAGAAAGCCUUGGGGCUAAUACCCUCGAGGAAGGACAUCACCCACAGAAGAAGCACCGGCUAACUCCGUGCCAACAGCCGCGGUAAUACGGAGGGUGCGAGCGUUAAUCGGAAUUACUGGGCGUAAAGCGCGCGUAGGCGGUCUGAUAAGCCGGUUGUGAAAGCCCCGGGCUCAACCUGGGAACGGCAUCCGGAACUGUCAGGCUAGAGUGCAGGAGAGGAAGGUAGAAUUCCCGGUGUAGCGGUGAAAUGCGUAGAGAUCGGGAGGAAUACCAGUGGCGAAGGCGGCCUUCUGGACUGACACUGACGCUGAGGUGCGAAAGCGUGGGUAGCAAACAGGAUUAGAUACCCCAGUAGUC